rnacentral:rRNA from 1 species
GACGAACGCUGGCGGCGUGGAUUAGGCAUGCAAGUCGAACGGUAUCAUCCUUUCGGGGGUGAGAGAGUGGCGAACUGGUGAGUAACACGUAGGUUAUCUACCCUCAAGACGGGGACAACCCAGGGAAACUUGGGCUAAUACCGGAUGUGAGCAACUUUUAGUUGUUUGAAAGGUGGCGUAAGCUGUCGCUUGGGGAUGAGCCUGCGUCCUAUUAGUUAGUUGGUGAGGUAACGGCUCACCUAGGCAAUGAUAGGUAGGCGGCCUUAACGGGUGGUCGCCCACACUGGGAUUGAGAUACGGCCCAGACUCCUACGGGAGGCAGCAGUCGAGAAUAGUCUACAAUGGUCGGAAGACUGAUAGUGCGACGCCGCGUGAACGAUGAAUCCCUUCGGGUGUAAAGUUCUUUUAUAUGUGAGCAGUGCUUCUUAUAUUAACAGUAUGGGGAGAGAGAUAUUAGCAUAUGAAUAAGCAACAGCUAACUCCGUGCCAGCAGCCGAACG